rnacentral:rRNA from 1 species
GUGUCAGCAGCCGCGGUAAGACGAACCGAGCGAACGUUGUUCGGAAUCACUGGGCUUAAAGGGCGCGUAGGCGGGCUGUCAAGUCUGGGGUGAAAUCCCGCGGCUCAACCGUGGAACUGCCUCAGAUACUGACGGCCUCGAGGGAGAUAGGGGCGAGCGGAACUAAUGGUGGAGCGGUGAAAUGCGUUGAUAUCAUUAGGAACUCCGGUGGCGAAGGCGGCUCGCUGGAUCUUUUCUGACGCUGAGGCGCGAAAGCUAGGGGAGCAAACGGGAUUAGAUACCCCAGUAGUCC